GACGAGGGGUCCAAGCGUUGUUCGGAAUCAUUGGGCGUAAAGCGGGUGUAGGUGGCUUUGUAAGUCAGGAGUGAAAUCCCCGAGCUUAACUUGGGAAGUGCUUUUGAAACUGCAGGGCUUGAGUGUGGGAGAGGAUCGUGGAAUUCCAGGUGUAGUGGUGAAAUACGUAGAUAUCUGGAGGAACACCGGUGGCGGAGGCGGCGAUCUGGCCCAACACUGACACUGAGACCCGAAGCGUGGGGAUCAAACAGGA
rnacentral:rRNA from 1 species